UUACAGCUGUAUGGGAACAAAAUAAACAAUUUCUAUCUCUUCCAAUUUUUCAAGACAGUUUUUACAAAUCGAGUAAAAAAUUAUUGAAACCAAUAUAUUGGUUCCUGUCACGCAUCUGGGAACGUUGUAGCCAAUAAGAGCCAACGUCGAGUGAUGUUGGCAGCGUUGGUGUAGCGAUCGAGCUCAAUCCAGAGAAAAGACAAAGGUGCAUCAGUACUAUAAGAAUCGCUGGCGAUUACAACCCAAAGCUUUGCAAUAGUUUAGAUACAGAAAACGCUAAAAGGUUUGCAACGGUAAAUUAAAAAGGAAACCCAACCCUGACAAUGAUCAGUCUGUGGCCGACGACUGAAAUUUUGUUUGAUUUUUAAUACGUCUAUAUAUAAUUUUUUUUAUUAGACAGCAUUUUAAUAUAUAAUAUUAAGUUUAAAAGUUUAAACAUGGAUGAGCCUAGGACCAACUAAGUACGAUUUCGCAAACGUCGAUCAGGCCUUUUACAUCGCAUUUAAAAUAUUUGAAACAAAGACGAACUGAGAUUAAAGCUUAAUCGACGUUGGUGAAAUCGGUUAUAGUUUCAUUAUUAAAAAAACGCCUACUUUGAUUUUACAAACGUCUCCAUGGCUAUAUUUCUUUUUUCGCGUGAAUACAUUUUAAUAAUCAGAAGUUUAAACGUCGAUGAGUCUGUAGGCGACUAUUUUUAUUUGAAAUGAUUUUGAGAAACGUUUAUAUGCUUUUAUAUAUUUUUUCGCCUUAACAUAUUUUAAUAGCCGCAAGUCGAUCAACCUGUGACCGAUUACUUUUAUUUUUUGUGAUUUGUAAAAACGUUUAUGUCUACAUUUGUCUUGUAUGUUACAGCCUUUUAAUAAUUAUAACUUGAAACAUUUAUUACUAAUAAAAAUUUGUUAUUAUUAUUACUGUA